GCCAAGCUGGCUUUGUUGGUAAAGCAUGUGACCAUUGAUCUCAGGGUUGUAAGUUCAAGCCCCACGUUUGGUG
rnacentral:tRNA from 1 species